rnacentral:rRNA from 1 species
AUGAACGCUGGCGGCGUGCUUAACACAUGCACGUCGCACGGUGAAGGCGGAGCUUGCUCUGCUGGAUCAGUGGCGAACGGGUGAGUAACACGUGAGCAAUCUGCCCCUGACUCUGGGAUAAGCGCUGGAAACGGCGUCUAAUACUGGAUACGAGCUGCGAAGGCAUCUUCAGCAGCUGGAAAGAAUUUCGGUCAGGGAUGAGCUCGCGGCCUAUCAGCUUGUUGGUGAGGUAAUGGCUCACCAAGGCGUCGACGGGUAGCCGGCCUGAGAGGGUGACCGGCCACACUGGGACUGAGACACGGCCCAGACUCCUACGGGAGGCAGCAGUGGGGAAUAUUGCACAAUGGGCGAAAGCCUGAUGCAGCAACGCCGCGUGAGGGACGACGGCCUUCGGGUUGUAAACCUCUUUUAGCAGGGAAGAAGCGAAAGUGACGGUACCUGCAGAAAAAGCGCCGGCUAACUACGUG